GGCAACCCUGACGGAGCAACGCCGCGUGGGGGAGGAAGGUCUGUGGAUUGUAAACUCCUUUUCUCUAGGAAGAAGUUCUGACGGUACUAGAGGAAUCAGCAUCGGCUAACUCCGUGCCAGCAGCCGCGGUAAGACGGAGGAUGCAAGCGUUAUCCGGAAUUAUUGGACGUAAAGCGUCCGUAGGCGGUUCAUCAAGUCUGCCGUUAAAGACUACAGCUCAACUGUGGGUAGGCGGUGGAAACUGAGGAACUAGAGUGUGGUAGGGGUAGAGGGAAUUCCCAGUGUAGCGGUGAAAUGCGUAGAUAUUGGGAAGAACACCAGUGGCGAAGGCGCUCUGCUGGGCCAUAACUGACGCUGAGGGACGAAAGCUAGGGGAGCG
rnacentral:rRNA from 1 species